UUACACAAGGGGAACUGUAAGGCCAGACUGACCCUGAAGUCUUAUGCCAAUAUUUCUGUCACAUCAAAGCACAUAAAUCAGCCAUUCUCUCUAUUCCUAGUCCUUAUCUUGCAUUCUUCAAAUGCCACUUGAUGGCCUGGCUGGCUCUAUCAAAGCUGAUGCUGUUGAAAACAAAUGCAUGGUUGGCAAGCUGAAGGACACAGCGGGAGAUUGUCUGCCAGAACUGAAUCCAGUUCAUAAAGGAAUAUCUCCUCUGCCAAAAUGGGUCAAGGACUCCCCAACUGACGCUUCACAGGCAGCUGCUCAGUGGUGAUCAUAGCUUUGGAAUGUUUAGCAAGGAUGGAGAAAAUUUUCAGUCUUGCAGCUCAACAGGAAAGGUACGCCUCAGUGUCUCAGAGAGCGGACCUGUGACCCGACACCCAAUUCUGGAUACAGGGCGAAGAUGUGAACAUUUCCAUUUUCUUUUUGAUUUUGUAAUACUUUGUUUAAAUCAUUAAAACAGCAAAAUCUUAGAUUCUAACAAACAAGCCACAAUAAAGUAAAUAAAGACAGCUGUUUACAAAUACUAAUAGGAUUACAACAAAUUGAAGGUGGCCUAAGGCUGAGCAUCAUCAUGAAACUUGUUAUUCCAAUGCAGUGAAAGAAUGUACAUUUUUCCUUCAACUUCUUAGGUUGAUUUAUGUGUCCUCUGUUUUAUUAACUUAAUUAACAUUUCUGUUUUUAUCAGAAUUCUCUGAUACCUCUAAUCUUCAUUAAGCUAUCCACUGUUGCCCUAAAGUGAAACUGUUGGAAGGUUACACCGCCUGCCAUGGCCUUAGAGACUGAUAAGGGAGAUACAUGUACUGCUGCAUCUGGGGCAGAUGAAGGCAUCCCGUUGUCCUGCUGCAGAUGCACCAAGGCAUUUCUUCUCUCUGCACUCCUCCCAGCAGUCAUUCCUCCUCUGGUCACUGUUAUGAAUGCACAACCUGUCUCCAGGCAUUACAAUAAUCUGCAAGGGAUUCCCACAUGGCAGGGUUGAUGAUGUCAGCCUCCAUGUCACAUUUACAGACAUCUUUGUUGUGCAGAGUUGGUCUGCAAGCAGGCCUGGUGCCCGAAGCCUUUUCCCUGUUGAGCACAUCCUUGGGGAUCCUGCCAUCUUCCAUUCUGUGGAUAUGACCAAGCCAGAGUAGAUGUUGCUGAGACAAGAGUGCAAACAUGCUGGGAUUAUGUGCUUGGGAGAACACAAAUUUGUCUGACACUCUGUCCUGCCAUUUGAUGCCCAAAUCUUCCUAAUGCAGCGAAUGUGGAAGGCACUGAGGCGUCACACCCGGCGCUUGUAAGUUGCCACAACUCACUUCCAUCAAGCAGCAUGCUCAAUACACAAGACUGGUAGAUCUUCAUCUUGGUAUUGGACAUUAGCAUCACAUUCUCCCAUAUCCUUUUGGGAAGCAUCAUUUGCAUAUUGCAUAACUUUGCACUUUGCAAUUUGCAUAACUCACAUAUUAACUUAGGUGAGUUAAGGCCACAAGGUAGCUUCUUAGAGAAGGCCACUGAGGCACUGGAA